AAGACUGAAAUGAACAUUUUCAGUCCUACUAGCUUUAGUCUAAAUUAAAUGGAACUGGCAACUGAACUGAUCCAAUCUGUCUAUCACACUCAGUUUCUUCCUCAGAUUUUAUGAAAGAAACUGUGGAAAAGGCCUCCAUUAUCAACUUAAUUAAACAAAAGAAAAAGGCAUGGGAAAGUCCAAUCAUAAAAUUCCUCUGUUUUUCUCAGCAAACAAACGCACACACGUAAAAUUUAACAUCAAUUUUCAUUUCCACAAACCAUAAUGAACGUCAAAAACCAAACCAGCAAAAACGCACAUAAGUAAAAAUGUAUUUGUAUAUGUAAAUGAAAAUGGUUGAAU
rnacentral:misc_RNA from 1 species